rnacentral:rRNA from 1 species
GGAGAGUGCGGGGGCGGCGUUUCCCACUCCAGCUGUCCCUUCCGGGGCAGCUGCGCAACCAACCAAACACUAUGCAAAAACAGACUGAAGACCGAUCCUUUGCGGGCGCCUUCGGGAGCCCUGCCUCGGAUCAAAAACAAACUAAAGACAACUCUCAACAACGGAUAUCUUGGCUCUCGCAACGAUGAAGAACGCAGCGAAAUGCGAUACGUAGUGUGAAUUGCAGAAUUCCGUGAAUCAUCGAAUCUUUGAACGCAUAUUGCGCCCGCGGCCUCGGCCAAGGGCAUGCCUGCCUGAGCGUCAUUAUAACACCUCACAACCCUUUUAGGGUAGUGGAUCUGGCCGUCCGGACUCUCGAGCCUGGUCGGCUAAAAGGCAGAUGCAAAGCCAGCAGCCCAUUCAACGGCAAGGCGUGGUAGACCGCAUCGCGGGCGAUCGUCGUGCCGGGGCUGCCUUUCGGCCUUCGCAUUAGCAGGAACCGCCGCUUCCGACGGACUUCGGUCCGAAAGGAGCCGGCCUUGACCCAUUGACCUCAGAUCAGACAAGAUUACCCGCCGAAUUUAAGCAUAUUACUAAGCGGAGGAAAAGAAACUAACAAGGAUUCCCCUAGUAACGGCGAGNGAANNGGGAAGAGCCCAACUUGAAAAUCUGGCAGCUUCGCUGUCCGAAUUGUAGUCUAAAGAAGCGUCCUCUGUAGCGGACCGGGCCCAAGUUCCCUGGAAUGGGACGUCAGAGAGGGUGAGAGCCCCGUCGACCCCGGACCCUGCUACUCCACGAGGCGCUGUCGCCGAGUCGGGUUGUUUGGGAAUGCAGCCCUAAAUGGG